rnacentral:lncRNA from 1 species
UAAAGAGAAAAAAAAAAAAAAAGGAAAAAAAAAAAAAAAAGGGCGCUGUGAUGCUACUUGAUAUCUUUGCCAGAAAAUAUCCCAAAUAUUUUGGUUUUGUUACUCUAAUAAAGAUAAUGGAGUAAGAAAUGAUGAAAUGUCCAUGCACAAAAAAUCCUUGUCGCGAUUUAUUUUGCCUGUUUGAUUGGAGUAUUAGGAAUUUUUUUUAUAUUUCCUAGUUAGAUGUGGUAUAAGAGUUCUUAAACCAAUUCAUUGUCAAAAGGGCAGCCAAUAAUAGUUCACUCUUAGAUCUUUUCUAUUUGCAUGAAGAAGUUUUUUCUUUACUAAAUAAGGCAUUUUCCCAAGCCCGGUGUGGAACAGUUAUCUCCUUUAUCUCAAGUAGCUGGCCUACCACCGAGUUCUGAUCUGGUUUUUGUAAGGAACUGGAUGUCUGGAAGCAGACUUUCAAUAAGAUAUUUAGGGAAAAAAAAAAAGCUAACUUAAGUUGUUUACCUACUUUUGAGUAAUGUUUUGCUCUCUGUGGCUGUAUAUUGUAAAGGCACGCUGUGUCUUGGUGAUUUUUUUUUUAUUAUUCUUUCAAAAGCUGUUUGGAAGACUUAAUGUAUUAUACUGAUUAUAUGUUAGUGGAAUGUUUCUCUCCUCGUUUUCCAAAUUAAGUAAAAUAAUAUUUUUGUUUCUUUGGAUGUAUCUUUAAUUCUACUAUGAUAAACUGAAGUUUGCAUUCAGUUGCAGCUGUAUUAAAAUGUAAAUAAAUGACUAUUACCUGCCUGGAUGCCUUGAAAAGGUUCUGUCUGCUGAAUUUUUUCUGUUUUGAAGAGUGUUCUAAUGACUGUGUAAUUCUAAUUCUUGAACCUGCUGCUGACUGUGGGUUCUCUUAAGUCUAUGAAAUUCAUUUAAUUGUUAUUUUUAGGAGUUGUGAAAAAUGAUAGGGUAUGUGAGUGUCUUCACUGAGCUAGGAGUACUUGAUGACUGUGUAUACCUUUGAAGCUGUAGGUAAAUGGGUAGUUUCUGUUCAGUAGAAAAACUUCUGUGUGCACUUUGUAGGAUGCAGUGGUGUUUUAUAAAGCUUCCAUAAGGUUUUGAUAAAGUUUUUCCAAAAAUACAGCCUUUAUGCCAAUGACAUAUAGAAUUCUUGAGUAUUGCAUGGCUAAAAAAUAGAUAACUAUAUUAAGUUUGUGGGGUGUAAGCUCGUUCAUUGUAGUUU